AGUGGAUUUUUCCCUGCAGUUUUCUCCUGGCCACAGUACAGGCAACACAGUUUUGAGGACCUCAACAGACACACUGCAACUGUAACUAUCUGUCUGGAAGCCACCAUUUUUAGCUUAAAAUAAUACCACUCUCAAGUAUGUGUCCAGCACAUGAACUAUCUGUAUUGAGUGCCUCCUGCUGCAAGUAAAUGAAAGCUCCCAGCAACAUCAUUAAUCAGAUAUCUGUGCUAUUGCAAAUGACACAGAUCAUGUGGAAUACCAGCUACAUGUGAUUCAUGAAGGACAGGAUUACAGAUACAGUGAGAUGAUGGUGGCAUUCCCCACUCAAAAUGAUAGUAUGCUAGCCAUGGUAUGGUUGGUAGACACUCUGGUCACUAUGCUUCUGCAGCAGUGCUGUAGUACAAGCAGUGUUCUGCAUGCCAUGACUGUCUCAUCAGAUUGCAACAUGGGAGAGACAGGCCACCGCUCCACAUAACCACUACUGCCCAUCAAGUAUCAGUGUCUAUGGUUCAACAUGCACACAGUUCCACUGCUGGCCCAUCAGCUGUGGUCCCACAAAUCACAACAAGGCCUUCAACUCACAGUCAUGGUCCUUCACCUCAAGUAGUGUUGUCACUCUAUUAAUCUCCUCUGUGCAGCAACCUGGGCCACAUGUUUCUGUACCUGGUCAAGGCAGAGCAGACCAUGGUGUAAGAUGUCAGCAAGGUUACCCUAGACUGCAUUAGAGUGUGUCCAACAGUGUCAAAAGUGUAGCUGCCUCCUUGUAUUAAAUUACUACUUUACUGUGUUAUAUUUUUCUAUGGCUAUUAAAUGUUCUGCAUUAUGUCCUCCA